rnacentral:rRNA from 1 species
CGGGGAUGGGAGGAGCUUGCUCCGAACAUUCGAGUGGCGAACGGGUGAGUAACGCGUAGGCAACCUGCCUUUCACAGGGGGAUAACACAGGGAAACCGGUGCUAAGACCGCAUAAAGUAAACAGGUAGCAUUACCUGAAUACCAAAGGAGAAAUCCGGUGGAAGAUGGGCCUGCGUCCGAUUAGCUAGUUGGAGGGGUAAAGGCCCACCAAGGCGACGAUCGGUAGCCGGACUGAGAGGUUGAACGGCCACAUUGGGACUGAGAUACGGCCCAGACUCCUACGGGAGGCAGCAGUGGGGAAUAUUGCGCAAUGGGCGCAAGCCUGAUCCAGCAAUGCCGCGUGUGUGAAGAAGGCCUGCGGGUUGUAAAGCACUUUCAGUAGAGAAGAAAAGCAGAGGAUUAAUACUCCUUUGUCUUGACGUUACCUACAGAAGAAGCACCGGCUAACUCCGUGCCAGCAGCCGCGGUAAUACGGAGGGUGCGAGCGUUAAUCGGAAUUACUGGGCGUAAAGCGCGCGUAGGCGGUUUGAUAAGUCGGAUGUGAAAGCCCUGGGCUCAACCUGGGAAUUGCAUUCGAAACUGUCUGACUAGAGUAUGGGAGAGGGAAGUGGAAUUUCCGGUGUAGCGGUGAAAUGCGUAGAUAUCGGAAGGAACACCAGUGGCGAAAGCGACUUCCUGGACCAAUACUGACGCUGAUGUGCGAAAGCGUGGGGAGCAAACAGGAUUAGAUACCCUGGUAGUCCACGCCGUAAACGAUGAGAACUAGAUGUCGGGAGGGUUAGCCUUUCGUGUCGUAGCUAA